GCCCGGAUGGCGGAACUGGAAGACGCAGCGGACUCAAAAUCCGCCGCCCGUGAGGGCGUGAGGGUUCGAAUCCCUCUCCGGGUA
rnacentral:tRNA from 1 species